rnacentral:rRNA from 1 species
CCUACGGGUGGCAGCAGUGAGGAAUAUUGGUCAAUGGGCGCGAGCCUGAACCAGCCAAGUCGCGUGAGGGAAGACGGUCCUAUGGAUUGUAAACCUCUUUUGUCGGGGAGCAAAAGACGCCACGCGUGGCGUUCCGAGAGUACCCGAAGAAAAAGCAUCGGCUAAAUCCGUGCCAGCAGCCGCGGUAAUACGGAGGAUGCGGGGGUUAUCCGGUUUUAUUGGGUUUAAAGGGUGCGCAGGGGGAAGAUCAAGUCAGAGGUAAAAUUGAGGGGCUAAACCGCUUAGAGCCGUUGAAACUGGUGUUCUUGAGUGAGUGAGAAGUAUGCGGAAUGCGUGGUGUAGCGGUGAAAUGCAUAGAUAUCACGCAGAACUCCGAUUGCGAAGGCAGCAUACCGGCGCUCAACUGACGCUCAUGCACGAAAGUGUGGGUAUCGAACAGGAUUAGAUACCCCAGUAGUC